GACGAACGCUGGCGGCGUGCUUAACACAUGCAAGUCGAACGGAAAGGCCCUGCUUUUGUGGGGUGCUCGAGUGGCGAACGGGUGAGUAACACGUGAGUAACCUGCCCUUGACUUUGGGAUAACUUCAGGAAACUGGGGCUAAUACCGGAUAGGAGCUCCUGCUGCAUGGUGGGGUUGGAAAGUUUCGGCGGUUGGGGAUGGACUCGCGGCUUAUCAGCUUGUUGGUGGGGUAGUGGCUUACCAAGGCUUUGACGGGUAGCCGGCCUGAGAGGGUGACCGGCCACAUUGGGACUGAGAUACGGCCCAGACUCCUACGGGAGGCAGCAGUGGGGAAUAUUGCACAAUGGGCGGAAGCCUGAUGCAGCAACGCCGCGUGCGGGAUGACGGCCUUCGGGUUGUAACCCGCUUUCGCCUGUGACGAAGCGUGAGUGACGGUAAUGGGUAAAGAAGCACCGGCUAACUACGUG
rnacentral:rRNA from 1 species